GACGAACGCUGGCGGCGUGCCUAAUACAUGCAAGUAGAACGCUGAAGAGAGGAGCUUGCUCUUCUUGGAUGAGUUGCGAACGGGUGAGUAACGCGUAGGUAACCUGCCUUGUAGCGGGGGAUAACUAUUGGAAACGAUAGCUAAUACCGCAUAACAAUGGAUGACACAUGUCAUUUAUUUGAAAGGGGCAAUUGCUCCACUACAAGAUGGACCUGCGUUGUAUUAGCUAGUAGGUGAGGUAAUGGCUCACCUAGGCGACGAUACAUAGCCGACCUGAGAGGGUGAUCGGCCAACCUGGGACUGAGACACGGCCCAGACUCCUACGGGAGGCAGCAGUAGGGAAUCUUCGGCAAUGGGGGCAACCCUGACCGAGCAACGCCGCGUGAGUGAAGAAGGGUUUCGGAUCGUAAAGCUCUGUUGUAAGUCAAGAACGGGUGUGAGAGUGGAAAGUUCACACUGUGACGGUAGCUUACCAGAAAGGGACGGCUAACUACGUG
rnacentral:rRNA from 1 species